GAGAGAGUAACUAGGAUUCUAGCUUCUCUGGAUUUUGCUCAGAACUUCAUCACAAACAAUACUUCCUCUGUUAUUAUUGAGGAAACUAAGAAGUAUGGGAGAACAAUAAUAGGAUAUUUUGAACAUUAUCUGCAGUGGAUCGAGUUCUCUGAAGUAAGUGAAAGGACAUUGAUGUGCAGGACCAAGACUUCUGGGGCUUCCCACCAGGUCAGAGGACAGCCACCUCCUGGUCCCCUUUGCUCACCUUUGCCAUAUGCAGUUCUUCCAUUUGCUUCCCACCCCCUUUUUCAG
rnacentral:lncRNA from 1 species